AGGGUCAAUUAGCAGAGAUGACAUGCCUGUUCUGAAUAGCAUUGUCCCAAUGUCUGGGUAUGCCACGUCCUUCUGUCCAUCUAUCUCGAGCGAUGUCCUGCAGUGCCACAGGGAAGAACUGGUUUUGUUGAUAGUGCCAGAAAUUGCUCACAGGUCCCUGCUCCAGACUACAGCAGCCAGUGGAAGCACCAGCACCAGUAUCACAAAGAGAUGAUGGAGUCAAAGUGACUGCUUUGCUGCUGCUGUAUGUAUCUUGGAGCUGGAUUUUUCUGUGUAGUCUGUGGAAGCUUGUUA